UCACUAUCAAACCCAAUUGCCAAAGUUACUAGGGAGGGAGGAAUCUUCUUUUUCUCAUUGCUCUAUUGGGUCUCCAGGGUGCCUAGGAAGGUGCAUUUCUUUGUGUGGUUAGCAACUAUGGGAGCGAUUUUGGCCGUAGAAAAUCUAAGGAAUCGGAGGAUCACCUAUAUUAGUUGGUUCUUCAUGGGCAGAUGUUCAGGCGGAGAUGUUAAUCAUCUCCUAUUGCAUUGUAAAGUGGCUACUCAAUCGUGGUUUGUGGCCCUUAACUGAUUGGAGUAUAAUUGUGAUGCCGACACAGUGAAGGAGGCUUUUCAAAGUUGGGCUCUCAGAUCGCGGAAGAGGAGUCCACGGGCAUGGAUUGUUUCUCCAUUAGCCAUUAUGUUGGUUACAGGGAUAUAGAAAAAUUGGAGAUUUUUUGAAGGGGUUGAAUAAGAUAUCAUAAGAUUGCAAAACAAUCUUUUGUACCUAGCUUCUUUUUGGUGCACUCAUGAAGUUCCUCUUUUGUAUAGAAGAUUGAGUUUCUUUCGCAGAGAACCAUAUUUUGGUGUAGGUUUUCUACUUUUUUUGGCUAUACAACUUGCAUAUGGGGUAUUAUUGUAUUAUUUGCCUUGUAAAGAUCAAAUGUCUGGUAUGUUUAAGGUAACAAGUUUCAAAAGUUUUAUAGCCACACAAAUGUUCCAGCAUGUUUAAUACUACUAGUUCAAAAGUCUUCAUUUCUUUCUUAAAUUCCGUACCGAUUCAAACUAUGUCAUAUAAAUUGGAAUGUAGGGAGCAUUCGGUUCCGGAAGUGCAUUAAGAAAACUUAUUAACUUCUUCUCAGGCUUAACAAAUCCCUUUAGCCAGAUUGCACUCAGCAGGCAAUUAAAUGAGUCUCCUUCUCUUUUAUUGCUCAAGUCCUUAAGAGUUAUAUUCAGACGGGCUAUUCAAAAUAUUUAUUGAUGAUAUUACCUUUCCCUGGAUAGGUGAAGAGAUGUUCAAUUUCACCUCUCUUAUAGCCUCUCUCACAGUUACUUCAAUUCUUUUUCUGGAUAGCCUUGGGUACCACAUAUCCUUUCUGUCAAAGCUAGUGUUGUAGAUAUAUCAACGGCUAUUGGGGAAAUAUCUUUUAAUCUACCUGGAUAAUAAGCCCAAUCAAACAGAAGAGAUUAGAGAAAUGAGUACAAAGAUGAGAAAUUCAUUGGUUAUGCCUGAAGCUUGUUAGGUUUAACUCAUUUAAUAUGUUUUGGACUUUUUUCAUAUACUUGAAUUCAUAAAAUGUUUCGUUUGGAUGGAAUUCAUGCAUGUGUU
rnacentral:lncRNA from 1 species